rnacentral:lncRNA from 1 species
UUUUUUUCUUUUUUUUUUUUUUUGAGACAGAGUCUCGCUCUGUCGCCCAGGCUGGAGUGCAGUGGCGAUCUCGGCUCACUGCAAGCUCCGCCUCCCGGGUUCACGCCAUUCUCCUGCCUCAGCCUCCCGAGUAGCUGGGACUACAGGCACCCACAACCGCGCCCAGCUAAUUUUUUGUAUUUUUAGUAGAGACGGGGUUUCACCGUGGUCUCGAUCUCCUGACCUUGUGAUCCGCCCGCCUCGGCCUCCCAAAGUGCUGGGAUUACAGGCGUGAGCCACCGCGCCCGGCCGGAAAUUUUUUUCACUAAAGAUCAAGAGGAAUACAAUUCACACAAAACCAUGAGGCUCAUACCAAUAUCAUAGUUGACACCACUUCUUCAGGAUGCUUACUCUCUGACCACAACUGGUCAGGGGAUGAGUCCAUCCCAGAAUCUGAAAGGUGGAACCAAGAGGUGGAGAUGCUGCUGACACUAACACUGCAAUCCCUGCAUAUUUUACUUGAGAGCUGCAGACACCAAAGUGAAGUGCCCAGCCCGGGUGUUCCUGACAGUCCACUAGGAACUUGUGUCUUAUGAUACACACAUUUCUACAGACACACAAAUCUGUAACUUAUAACUAUACAUAUGCUGGGAAUGUGAGACUUCCCCCCCCAAUAAUGGGGUUCAUUCUUUUGAAAGUAUGAACAAGAAACAUACACACUUUAGCCUUGGCACAGCUCACACCUGGGUUGGAUAACUCUGCUGUGGGGGCCAUUGUGAGCCUUGCAGCCCCAGCCUCCACCUGCCAGACACCACCCUUCAUUAUGACCACUCAGAUGUCUCUAUAUGUCCCCUGGGGGCAAAAUUGCCCCUAGAUGAGAACCACUGCUCACAGUGAAUAGAUCCAUAUGUUCAAGUCUGCCCACACCAUGGAAUAUUACACAGCACAGAGAAGGAUCCACAGCUGCCUGCAGCAACAUGGAUGAGUCUAACCUACACAAUGUUGUGCAACAGGCAGGCAUCUAAUUCCAUUCAUACAAACACAUGGUGAGGCAGGCUUUAUUCCGUAAGCUACUACAGAGGGGCUUGGGAGGCCAGACUCAACUCCAGCUUGGACAAGAACAAGUGAAGGCUUAAAGCCGAGAAGCAGCAGGGUAUCUGGAGGAUGAAAAAUUAUCAAGUGCAAACCCUCAGAGAUAAGGGGUGAAUUCUUGCCAGACCAACUCAAGAGAAGUUUUCCUGAAGGCAGGCCAAGGGAAGAAGACAUUGAAGGUGGGGGACAAGGAAUUUGAUCAGAUAUCAAGAGGAAGGGGAAGAUUUUUUGCUAACAUGACUUAGUAGGAUUAUGUAUUAGUCCAUUCUCACACUGCUAUAAAGGACUACCUGAGACUGGGUAAUUCAUGAAGAAAAGAGGUUUCAUUGACUCACAGUUCCACAGGCUGUACAGGAAGCAUGGCAGGAAGGCCUCAAGAAACUUACAAUCAUCACAGAGGGUGGGGAAGGAAGCACGCCUUACUGCGGCAGAGCGAGUGGAGUGGGGAGUGCUACACACUUUUAAACAACCAGGUUUCAUGAAGACACACUCACUAUCAUGAGAACAGCAAAAGGGGAAAUCCGCCUCCACAAUCCAAUCACCUCCCACCAGGUCUGUCCCCCAAAACUGGAAAUUACAAUUCGACAUGAGAUUUUGGCAGAAACACAGAGCUAACCCAUAUCAUUCUAUCCCUGUCCCACCCCCAAAUCUCAUAUUCUUCUCUUACUGCAAAAUGUAAUCAUGCCUUCCCAAGAGUCCCCCAAAGUUUUAACUCAUGCCAGCAUUAACUCAAAAGUACAAGUCCAAAGAUUCAUCUGAGACAAGGCAAGUCCCUUUCACCUAUGAGUCUGUAAAAUUAAAAGCAACUGAGUUACUUCUGAGGUACAAUGGAGAGUACAGGCAUUGGGUAAAUCCCCCUAUUCCAAAAGGGAGAAAUUGGUCAAAACAAAGGGGCUACAGGUCCUAUGCAAGUCUGAAUACCAGCAGGGCAGUCAUUAAAUCUUAAAGCUCCAAAAUAAUCUUCUUUGACUCCAUGUCUCACAUCCAGGUCACACUGAUGCAAGGGGUGGGCUCCCAAGGCCUUGGGCACUCCACUCCUGUGGCAAUGCAGGGUACAGCCCCUGUGGCUGCUUUCACAGGCUGGCAUUGAGUGCCUGUGGCUUUUCCAGGCACACGGUGCAAACUAACGGCGGACCUACCAUUCUGGAGUCUGGAGGAUGAUGACCCUCUUCUCACAGCUCCACUAGGUAGUGCCCCAGUGGGGACUCUGUGUGGGGGUUCCAACCCCACAUUUCCCCAUCAUACUGCCUUAGUAGAGGUUCUCCACGAGGGCUCUACCCAUGCAGCAGACUUUUGCCUGGACGUCCAGGUGUUUCCAUACAUCCUCUGAAAUCUAGGCAGAGGCUCCCAAACUUCAACUCUUGCCUUCUGUGCACGCACAGAUCCAACACCACGUGGAAGCUGCCAAGGCUUGGGACUUGCACCCUCUGAAGCAAUGAACCAAGCUGUACAUUGGCCCCUUUUAGCCACAGUUAGAACUGAAGCAGCUGAGAUGCAGGGUGCCAAGUCUUGAGGAUGCACAGAACAGUGGGGCCCUGGACCCUGGUCCACAAAACCAUUUUUCUCUCCUAGGUCUCUAGGCUUGUGAUGGGAGGGGCUGCUGUGAAAGUCUCUGAAAUGCCCUGCAGGCAUUUUCCUCAUUGUCUUGGCUAUUAACAUUCAGCUCUUCUUUACUUAUGUACAUUUCUGCAGCCUUUGAUUCCUGCCGGAAAAUGGGCAGCAAAUUUUCAAAUGUUCAUGCUCUGCUUCCAGUUAAUAUAAGUUAUAGUUUUAGGUCAUUUCUUUGAUUAUGCAAUUGAGUGCAGACUUUUAGAAGCAGCCAGGUGACCUCUCCAACACUGUGCUGCUUAGAAAUUUAUUCUGCCAGACACUAAAUAAUCUCUCAAGCUCAAGUUCUGUCUCUUACAGAUCUCUAGAGCAGGAGCACAAUGCUGCCAGUCUUUUUGCUAAAGCACAGUGAGAGUGACCUUUACUCCAGUUACCAAUAAGUUCCUCAUCUCCAUCCGAGACUACUGCAGCCCAGACUUCCCUGUCCAUAUUAUUAGCAUUUUGGUCACAACCAUUUAAGUCUCUAGGAGGUUCCACACUUUCCCUCAACUUCCUGUCUUCUUCUGAUUCCUUCAAACUGUUCCAACCUCUGCCCAUUACCCAACUCCAAAGUAGCUUCAGGUAUCUUUAUAGCAGUGCCCCACUCCUGUUACCAACUUUCUGUAUUAGUCCAUUCUCACACUGCUGUAAGGAACUACCUAAGACUGGGUAAUUUAUGAAGAAAAUAGGUUUUAUUGACUCACAAUUCCACAGGCUGUACAUGAAGCAUGGCUGGGAGGCCUCAGGAAACUUACAAUCAUGGCAGAAGGUGAAGAAGUAAGCAUGUCUUACCAUGGCAGAGCAGGAAAGAGGGUGAAUGAAGAAGGAAGUGCUACACACGUUUAAACAAGCAGGUCUCAUGGGAACUCACUAUCAUGAGAACAGCAAGGAGGAAAUCUGC